CCUACGGGAGGCAGCAGUGGGGAAUAUUGCACAAUGGGCGCAAGCCUGAUGCAGCCAUGCCGCGUGUGUGAAGAAGGCCUUCGGGUUGUAAAGCACUUUCAGCGGGGAGGAAGGCGUUAAGGUUAAUAACCUUGUCGAUCGACGUUACCCGCAGAAGAAGCACCGGCUAACUCCGUGCCAGCAGCCGCGGUAAUACGGAGGGUGCAAGCGUUAAUCGGAAUUACUGGGCGUAAAGCGCACGCAGGCGGUCUGUCAAGUCGGAUGUGAAAUCCCCGGGCUCAACCUGGGAACUGCAUUCGAAACUGGCAGGCUAGAGUCUUGUAGAGGGGAGUAGAAUUCCAGGUGUAGCGGUGAAAUGCGUAGAGAUCUGGAGGAAUACCGGUGGCGAAGGCGGCCCCCUGGACAAAGACUGACGCUCAGGUGCGAAAGCGUGGGGAGCAAACAGGAUUAGAUACCCGGGUAGUC
rnacentral:rRNA from 1 species